rnacentral:rRNA from 1 species
UACGUAGGGUGCAAGCGUUGUCCGGAAUUAUUGGGCGUAAAGAGCUCGUAGGCGGUCUGUUGCGUCGGCUGUGAAAACCCGGGGCUCAACCCCGGGCCUGCAGCCGAUACGGGCAGACUAGAGUUCGGCAGGGGAGACUGGAAUUCCUGGUGUAGCGGUGAAAUGCGCAGAUAUCAAGGAGGAACACCGGUGGCGAAGGCGGGUCUCUGGGCCGGAUACUGACGCUGAGGAGCGAAAGCGUGGGGAGCGAACAGG